UUUAAAGUCUGACCUGCCCAAUGAGGAGUUGAAUGGCCGCGGUAAUUUGACCGUGCAAAGGUAGCAUAAUCAUUAGUUUUUUAAUUGAAAGCUGGAAUGAACGGUUGGACGAGAAAAUAACUGUCUCAAUUUAAUUGAAUGUAGAACUUUAUCUAUAAGUAAAAAAGCUUAUAUGAAUUUAAAAGACGAGAAGACCCUAUAGAGUUUUAUAAUUUUUUAUAUUAAAGACUAUUAGUAUGUGUAUAUUUUUGAUAUAAAAAAUUAUUUUGCUGGGGCAGCAGAAAAAUUAGAUAAACUUUUUUUAGAUUUUUUACAUUGAUUUAUGAUUUAAUGAUCCAUUUUUUAUGAUUACAAGAUUAAAUUACCUUAGGGAUAACAGCGUAAUUUUUUUUUAGAGUUCUUAUCGAAAAAAGAGUUUGCGACCUCGAUGUUGGAUUAAAAUUAACUUUUGGUGUAGGGGCUAAAAGGUUGGGUCUGUUCGACCUUUAAAAUUUUACAUGAUCUGAGUUUAAACCGGCGUGAGCCAGGUUGGUUUCUAUCUUUAAACAGAUUUGGAUACCUUAGUACGAAAGGAUCAGGUAUUUUUAAUAUUUAAUAUAUUUUGAAUAUGAAUAA
rnacentral:rRNA from 1 species